rnacentral:rRNA from 1 species
GCGCGAAAACUCUCCAAUGUGCGAAAGCGUGAGAGGGGGAUUCCUAGUGCUUACGGUUUAUCUGUAGGCUUUUGCCAUGUGUAAAUAGCAUGGCGAAUAAGUGGUGGGUAAGACUGGUGCCAGCCGCCGCGGUAACACCAGCGCCACAAGUGGCGAUCACGAUUAUUGGGCCUAAAGCGUCCGUAGUCGGCCUUGUACAUCUUCUGUGAAAUCGCUUCGCUCAACGGAGCGGCACGCGGGAGACACGGCAAGGCUUGAGAAUGGGAGGCGUCAGAGGAACUCCGGGGGGACCGGUAAAAUGGUAUAAUCCCCGGAAGACCACCUGUGGCGAAGGCGUCUGACGAGAACAUAUCUGACGAUGAGGGACGAAAGCCAGGGGAGCAAACCGG